UACGAAGGGGGCUAGCGUUGUUCGGAAUUACUGGGCGUAAAGCGCGCGUAGGCGGCUUUGCAAGUCGGGUGUGAAAUCCCCAGGCUUAACCUGGGAACUGCAUUCGAGACUGCAUUGCUAGAGUAUGGGAGAGGGAAGUGGAAUUUCAGGUGUAGCGGUGAAAUGCGUAGAUAUCUGAAGGAACAUCAGUGGCGAAAGCGACUUCCUGGACCAAUACUGACGCUCAUGUGCGAAAGCGUGGGGAGCAAACAGG
rnacentral:rRNA from 1 species